rnacentral:rRNA from 1 species
UACGUAGGUGGCAAGCGUUAUCCGGAUUUACUGGGUGUAAAGGGCGAGUAGGCGGGAUUGCAAGUCAGAUGUGAAAACUAUGGGCUCAACCUAUAGACUGCAUUUGAAACUGUAGUUCUUGAGUGAUGGAGAGGCAGGCGGAAUUCCCGGUGUAGCGGUGGAAUGCGUAGAUAUCGGGAGGAACACCAGUGGCGAAGGCGGCCUGCUGGACAUUAACUGACGCUGAGGCGCGAAAGCGUGGGGAGCAAACAGG